rnacentral:rRNA from 1 species
ACGCCCGCUCAAGUAAACUAAAGGAAGUUGACGGGGAGCACUACGAACGGUGGAGCCUGCGGUUUAAUUGGAUUCAACGCCGAAAUCUCGACCGGGGCGACAGCAAUAUGAAGGUCAGGCUGAAGACCUUACCCGAUUAGCUGAGAGGUGGUGCAUGGCCGUCGUCAGUUCGUACUGUGAAGCAUCCUGUUAAGUCAGGCAACGAGCGAGACCCACGUCCACAGUUGCCAGCAUACCCUCCGGGGUGAUGGGUACACUGUGGAGACCGCCGCUGCUAAAGCGGAGGAAGGAGUGGGCAACGGUAGGUCAGUAUGCCCCGAAUCUCCCGGGCUACACGCGGGCUACAAUGGUUGGUACAAUGGGCAUCUACCCCGAAAGGGGAAGGAAAUCUCUUAAAGCCAAUCGUAGUUCGGAUUGAGGGCUGCAACUCGCCCUCAUGAAGCUGGAAUCCGUAGUAAUCGCGUUUCAACAGAACGCGGUGAAUACGUCCCUGCUCCUU